AUUGAACGCUGGCGGCAGGCCUAACACAUGCAAGUCGAACGGUAACAGGAAACAGCUUGCUGUUUCGCUGACGAGUGGCGGACGGGUGAGUAAUGUCUGGGAAACUGCCUGAUGGAGGGGGAUAACUACUGGAAACGGUAGCUAAUACCGCAUAACGUCGCAAGACCAAAGAGGGGGACCCUCGGGCCUCUUGCCAUCGGAUGUGCCCAGAUGGGAUUAGCUUGUUGGUGGGGUAACGGCUCACCAAGGCGACGAUCCCUAGCUGGUCUGAGAGGAUGACCAGCCACACUGGAACUGAGACACGGUCCAGGCUCCUACGGGAGGCAGCAGUGGGGAAUAUUGCACAAUGGGCGCAAGCCUGAUGCAGCCAUGCCGCGUGUAUGAAGAAGGCCUUCGGGUUGUAAAGUACUUUCAGCGGGGAGGAAGGGGGUAAAGUUAAUACCUUUGCUCAUUGACGUUACCCGCAGAAGAAGCACCGGCUAACUCCGUG
rnacentral:rRNA from 1 species